rnacentral:misc_RNA from 1 species
GAACGCACCUUGCGCUCUUUGGUAAUCCGAAGAGCAUGCCUGUUUGAGUGUCAUGAAAUUCUCAACCUUUCAAGCUUUUUUAAAAAAGCUUUAGUUAGGCUUGGAUCUUGGAAGCUUGCUGGCUCUUGUAGCUCAGCUCUUCUUAAAUGCAUUAGCGAGAUUAAUCACUAAAUCAUCUUUGAUAUGAUAAUUAUCUAUAUCAUCAAUGAACCAGUGUUUUUUUCUUCUUGCUUCUAAAUCUGUAUAUUGAAUCAUUUGACCUCAAAUCAGGUAGGACUACCCGCUGAACUUAAG